CGGCUACCUCCGUGUCUUCGGAAUCUACCUUCAGCACGACCGGAAGGAUUUUAGAUGACUAUAGGAGUUCGUUAAAACCGGUUAUGGUGGAGGCAUUAGUUUGUGGUGCAAGUUAUAUCAAGGGUGCUCAUGUUGACUUGAAUCUGGUGCCGAGGGAUGAGAAUGAAGAGGAUGAUGUUGAGAACAUCAAGUUACCCACUGUGGUGGAGGAGAUCAACGAUUGGUAACUAUUCUUCCUACAUGUUUCACUUGUCAUACGAUACCAAAUAUUAUUUAUGUGAAUGUUGCUUAUCUUACUUGUAGACAUU